AUUGAACGCUGGCGGCAUGCCUUACACAUGCAAGUCGAACGGUAACGGGCCUUCGGGUGCCGACGAGUGGCGAACGGGUGAGUAAUGUAUCGGAACGUACCUUUCAGUGGGGGAUAACGUAGCGAAAGUUACGCUAAUACCGCAUAUUCUGUGAGCAGGAAAGCAGGGGAUCGCAAGACCUUGCGCUGAUUGAGCGGCCGAUAUCAGAUUAGCUAGUUGGUGAGGUAAAGGCUCACCAAGGCGACGAUCUGUAGCGGGUCUGAGAGGAGGAUCCGCCACACUGGAACUGAGACAAGGUCCAGACUCCUACGGGAGUCAGCAGGGGGGAAUUUUGGACAAUGGGGGCAACCCUGAUCCAGCCAUGCCGCGUGAGUGAAGAAGGCCUUCGGGUUGUAAAGCUCUUUCGGCCGGGAAGAAAUCGUAUCAGCUAAUACCUGGUGCGGAUGACGGUACCGGCAUAAGAAGCACCGGCUAACUACGUGCCAGCCGCCGCCGUAAAAC
rnacentral:rRNA from 1 species